AUGUAUUCUCAUUAUUACAUUACUUGUUAGCUCAAAUGACUUGAUGAUAAAAUAUAGAAGAAAUAGUCAUGAACAAGAAAGAAUAAAAGGUGGAUGUUUGCAUCAACAGAGAAGAUGGUGUUCCUAGCUUAAAUUAGAUGAAACUCACUUUGUUUCAGAAGAGGAUUUAUCCACAGUCUCUAUUUCUACUACUGGAUCAAGAAUCUGUCUGCUGGAGAGAAUAUUUAGGUAAGAUGCAUAUAUAUCAAGGCUGCCUGUUUCUAUCAUACGGGCCCUGGUAUCAACAAUUGGAUGACAUGAUUCAGAAAGCGCUGGAGAAAUUCCCUAAGCCUGAUGAGGUAAUGAAAUUCUUUAGUGCCCAUGAAGCACCAGUCAGCUAUGGGCUUUUAGUACUGUUAUUC